rnacentral:rRNA from 1 species
GACGAACGCUGGCGGCGUGCUUAACACAUGCAAGUCGAACGAUGAAGGAGAGCUUGCUCUCCGGAUUAGUGGCGAACGGGUGAGUAACACGUGACUAACCUGCCCCUUUCUCUGGGAUAACGCUCCGAAAGGAGUGCUAAUACCGGAUACGAACUCUGAACACAUGUUCGGAGUUGGAAAGUUUUUCGGAAAGGGAUGGAGUCGCGGCCUAUCAGCUUGUUGGUGAGGUAAUGGCGCACCAAGGCGACGAAGGGUAGCCGGCCUGAGAGGGCGACCGGCCACACGGGGACUGAGACACGGCCCAGACUCCUACGGGAGGCAGCAGUGGGGAAUAUUGCACAAUGGGCGAAAGCCUGAUGCAGCGACGCCGCGUGAGGGAUGAAGGUCUUCGGAUUGUAAACCUCUUUCAGUAGGGACGAAGCGAAAGUGACGGUACCUAAAGAAGAAGCACCGGCUAACUACGUGCCAGCCGCCGCCGUAA